GGGGAUGUCAGGUUUCGACAGGGUCGGAGGUCCGUUCAUUGCACGCCGAGGCGCCCGGGCCCUCGUAAAAACGGGCACAAAAGUAGCUGCGAAACCACAGCUCGCUUACGCUGCCUAAGUCACAGACCUCUAGGUAGCGCGUCCAGCCGGACCUUCCCCUGCCGGGACCGGAUCUGGGCGUCACUAAGGUGGGGUGCGGCGAUCUAGUUCGUCGGAGCGCGAUCGCCCAAGGCAGUCCGACUCACUGCCGGUAGACCCAGUUGGCGGGGGCCACCGGUGGCACACAAAUCGCCGACUAAGCGUGUAGGACAUGACCGGCUAACGGUUCUGGACGGGGGUUCGAUUCCCCCCAUCUCCACCU
rnacentral:tmRNA from 1 species